rnacentral:lncRNA from 1 species
GAAAACCAAAUUUUGCAUACCUAUCAAUAAGCUCUGCUUGCAGAUGGAAGGAUGUUUUUUUCCUGUUAGCUGCAGCCCUGCAAAGAGCUGACUACUUGAAAAACAAGCUGGGGGCCUUUUGUCUUUGUGUUGUCACAGAGUCACAGUGCUGGAAGAGACUUUGAGAGGUCAUCCUGUGCAUCUCCCUUCCUUAAGGGAUGAGCUGUUAUUCCCACAGUUUCUGACAGACACUUUGCCAUUAAUCAUCACUGUUAAUUAUGAGCCUGGAGACUAUGUUGUACCCACAGUGCUUUUGGUGGGGACUGUACUGGUGGUGCAGAUGCAUGGCAUCAUAGAAAAAAGAUUCCAGCUUUCUGCUCCUUACCUGUGUUGGCUUAGAGGAACAAAGAAAUCCAGAGGAGAAGGGAAAGAAACAAUAAUUUACGUUAGCAAACCAUCAGGAUUCUGAACACAAAGCUACUGCUUAUGCAAAAUUCUAUAACCACUGUGUGUGUGAUGGAUGCAAACACAAGCCUUUGCCAUGCCCAUCAAUGCAAGGGUGCAGAGCAGUCCUGCCGAGGCUGGACAGCAAAGCUAUCUGGGCAUGGCUAGCACGCAUCCUGCCAGCCAAACCUGCCGCGCUGAUCCUGAACCUGGAGUGAGCUGGGUCAGCUGCACCUCCUGCCUUGGGUUACAGGGAAAUGCCAUGCAGCAGCACCCCAUGACCUGCUGUUUUAGGGAGAUGGCCAUCUAUGAAAAACUCUAAUGAAAAAACAGCUUCCACCAGGUCUCUCCAUUAUGUGCUCAUUCCUUUUUAAGUUCUCAAAGUAGUUUUUUCCCCUUACUUUUUUUUUUUAUUAUUUUUUUUUCCUUUCUCCCCUGUUGCUAAUGAGCACUUGAGAAUUUGAUUUAGCUCCUUGGAAUGACUGCCACUUACUGCUAGAAUGUUAAUCUGUCUAAACCCAUUCAGCUUCUCUUACUCGGAAGUCAAUCACCUGGAGCCUGCAUUUUAAGAGAUGCUGGCUAAAGCAGUCGCAAGAGCAGAGAUGUUUUGGGACAAUUCCCACAGCUGGGAGUAAUCUCGGGAAACUCAUAGCUACCAGGCGGCAGACACUAUUGAAUCCCCGGGAUAAGCAGAGCUGGAGCAAGCCCCGGCAGAGACCAGAAGCUCAAAUGGAGGGGAGACAGGAGGCUAUUGAGCUGCAGCUCCCACACGGGAUGCCGCACCGGAGUGUUUUGGGGAACAACCUUUAGUUAAUGGUGAGAAUAUACCCAAAGAGGGCGUAGGCAAACCAGGACAGAGGAGGUCCGCCAAGUCACAGCUGGAGAUAAAGCUUUAAAGUGUCAGAGGAGGAGUCUGGCUUUCCAGAAGUAAUUGGAGAGAUGAUUUAAUUUGUCUUGUACUGUCCAUUUUUAAACCCGUUUGGAGAGGGAGAAAAUGCACAGAAUUCCAUACUAAAUGUAGGAGACACGGGCAUAGACUUGGGAUAGUUGAUGAUGUAGUGGAGCCGUGUGUCUGUGAAUCAUUCCACCGUGUUGUUCUGGAAAUGCUCCUGUUUUAUCUUCCUUAGAGCAGCCCCUGUCUGUCUGUCGGUCCGUGCUGCCGGGCCAGAGGGGCAGCACCCCUGGCCGCGAGUAGGAGAGACAGCAUCUGGGGGGUGCACUGGGAGUGGAGGGGACCAUGAAGUCCCUGACUACCAGAAUUGCUCCUGGGCAUUGCUUGGCAUUUUUUUACAUGGGAAGAAGUGCGUUUUAGCUGUGGUACA